GGUUUCCGUAGGUGACCUGCGGAAGGAUCAUU
rnacentral:rRNA from 1 species